rnacentral:rRNA from 1 species
GGGGAAGGAUUAGCGGCGAACGGGUGAGGAACACGUGGGCAACCUGCCCCAGACUUUGGGAUAACUCCUCGAAAGAGGUGCUAAUACCGGAUAUGAACUUUGCAGGCAUCUGCGAAGUUGGAAAGUUUUUCGGUCUGGGAUGGGCCCGCGGCCUAUCAGCUAGUUGGUGAGGUAAUGGCUCACCAAGGCGACGACGGGUAGCCGGCCUGAGAGGGCGACCGGCCACACUGGGACUGAGACACGGCCCAGACUCC